UACGAAGGGGGCUAGCGUUGCUCGGAAUUACUGGGCGUAAAGCGCACGUAGGCGGCUUUCUAAGUCAGGGGUGAAAUCCUGGAGCUCAACUCCAGAACUGCCUUUGAUACUGGAGAGCUUGAGUCCGGGAGAGGUGAGUGGAACUCCGAGUGUAGAGGUGAAAUUCGUAGAUAUUCGCAAGAACACCAGUGGCGAAGGCGGCUCACUGGUCCGGUACUGACGCUGAGGUGCGAAAGCGUGGGGAGCAAACAGG
rnacentral:rRNA from 1 species